GGAUUGCUCGUUCAAGAAACUAUUGAUGGAAACAUGUUCGGGACUCAAAAUUGGACAAGUUUCGUGUUCGGGUCGAAGGCCGAAACAAAAUGGAUCAAUGCGUUAUAAGCAGCCGAAGAAGAGAGUGGGCAGUAUAACCAUGCAGUCGCAUGACAUGAUACCGAGAAUUCAAUGGCGUAAAUUUUAUUUCGCAUGGUUCAUUUCUGGGGCGAUUUUCCUUUUUUCCGCGUUUUUCCUUAUUUUACUA
rnacentral:lncRNA from 1 species